UCCGGAAUUAUUGGGCGUAAAGCGUCCGCAGGUGGCACAUCCAGUCUGCCGUCAAAGACCGGGGCUUAACCCUGGAAAGGCGGUGGAAACUGAAUUGCUAGAGUGUCGUAGGGGUAGAGGGAAUUCCCGGUGUAGCGGUGAAAUGCGUAGAGCUCGGGAAGAACAUCGGUGGCGAAAGCGCUCUACUGGACGACAACUGACACUCAGGGACGAAAGCUAGGGGAGCGAAUGGG
rnacentral:rRNA from 1 species